GGACUCGUAGAUCAACGGUUAGGCCGCUCCAGAAAACUUAUAGUUAAGUUCAAGGGGAGGUUGCGAGUUCGACUCUCGCCGAGUGCA